rnacentral:tRNA from 1 species
GGCGGGGUAGCUCAGUCGGUGAGAGCGCACGACUCAUAAUCGUGAGGUCGCGGGUUCGAACCCCGCCCCCGCUA